rnacentral:rRNA from 1 species
UGGCGCUAAGCACAUGCAAGUCGAACGGCAGCACAGUAAGAGUUUGCUCUUAUGGGUGGCGAGUGGCGGACGGGUGAGGAAUACAUCGGAAUCUACUCUUCGUGGGGGAUAACGUAGGGAAACUUACGCUAAUACCGCAACGACCUACGGGUGAAAGCGGAGGACCUUCGGGCUUCGCGCGGUUGAAUGAGCCGAUGUCGGAUUAGCUUGGCGGGGUAAAGGCCCACCAAGGCGACGAUCCGUAGCUGGUCUGAGAGGAUGAUCAGCCACACUGGAACGGAGACACGGUCCAGACUCCUACGGGAGGCAGCAGUGGGGAAUAUUGCAAUGGGCGCAAGCCUGAUCCAGCCAUGCCGCGUGGGUGUUGUAAAGCCCUUUUGUUGGGAAAGAAAAGCAGUCGGUUAAUACCCGAUUGUUCUGACGGUACCCAAAAAAUAAGCACCGGCUAACUUCGUGCCAGCAGCCGCGGUAAUACGAAGGGUGCAAGCGUUACUCGGAAUUACUGGGCGUAAAGCGUGCGUAGGUGGUGGUUUAAGUCUGUUGUGAAAGCCCUGGGCUCAAACUUGGAAUUGCAGUGGAUACUGGGUCACUAGAGUGUAGCGGAAUUCCCGGUGUAGCAGUGAAAUGCGUAGAGAUCGGGAGGAACAUCGUGGCGAAGGCGGAACAUGACACUGAGGCACGAAAGGUGGGGAGAAACAGGAUUAGAUACCCUGGUAGUCCACGCCCUAAACGAUGCGAACUGGAUGUUGGGUGCAAUUUGGCACGCAGUAUCGAGCUAACGCGGUACGGUCGCAAGACUGAAACUCAAAGGAAUUGACGGGGGCCCGCACAAGCGGUGGAGUAUGUGGUUUAAUUCGAUGCAACGCGAAGAACCUUACCUGGUCUUGACAUCCACGGAACUUUCCAGAGAUGGAUUGGUGCCGGCCUCGAAUGUGCCGACAGGUGCUGCAUGGCUGUCGUCAGCUCGUGUCGUGAGAUGUUGGGUUAAGUCCCGCAACGAGCGCAUUUCUUGUCCUUAGUUGCCAGCACGUAAUGGUGGGAACUCUAAGGAGACCGCCGGUGACAAACCGGAGGAAGGUGGGGAUGACGUCAAGUCAUCAUAACCCUUACGACCAGGGCUACACACGUACUACAAUGGUAGGGACAGAGGGCUGCAAACCCGCGAGGGCAAGCCAAUCCCAGAAACCCUAUCUCAGUCCGGAUGGAGUCUGCAACUCGACUCCAUGAAGUCGGAAUCGCUAGUAAUCGCAGAUCAGCAUUGCUGCGGUGAAU